CUUAAGGACGGUUGACGGACGAGGUCCGUCACAGAGGGGAGACCCUUAGUGACGAGUGACGGACCUCGUCCGUCACGCGGUAAAAUUAACCCCGGAUCGCCGCUAUCGUGGCGAUCGCGGGGUUAAUGGUGCUCCGGUAUGCCUCUGCAUUAGAGGCAUACCGGGAGCACCCGGUCAGGCUGCCCAGCACAUGUGCUCGCUCUGACCGCAAGUCGGAGCGAGCACAUGUGCUCUGCAUACU